UAAUACAAUACAAGUUUUUCC
rnacentral:piRNA from 1 species